rnacentral:snoRNA from 1 species
UCUGAUACAUGAUGAUCCCAGGGCAUCUUGAGCUCUGGAAUACAUUAUGACAACAAAAGAUUCUGUAUUAAA